CCGACGGCAGCAACUUCAAAUGACACCGCGGAGGCCGCGAAUGAGCGCGGCCCGUGCGGGGCUCCCCCCGCGCCCGCGCCGGCCCCGCGCCGCCCGCGGCAGGGGCGGAGCGGCUGCGGAGAUGACGGGUCUGCUGCCUUGCCUUUCCUUCAGUACGGUUUCCCAGGAUUAUCACACCAAUGUUCAAUUUAACCGUGGAAGAAACACAGCACUGAGGGCAACAUCUGCAACUUUAGCUUUCAAGGGCCAUAACAAAAGGUAGUUAGUUUACAGUAAGAUACAGGUCCUUGGAUUAUUAGUGGUGAUUUAGAAAUAUAAAGCCUCAUAAAUAUUCCUUGCACUGUUUUACCACUGGUUAUAGUAUGUACGUUAUGAAUAAAAAUACAUAUAUAUGACAAGCAGCAGAUUAAAACCUCAUGUUUCAUGCUGAGUAUUUAUUUUAAUCUAGAAAUGGACCUGGAUACUUCUAUCAACCUAGAAAUGGAUCUGCCUUCAGUUGACACUAAUGUUCCUAAAUUUGGAUAUUGCAAAAUACUGGUUUUCCUUUCUAAAAAGAUUAGUAAUUAUAAAUAACUUUUUAAACUAUUACUGAAAAGUAAAGAAAGAAGCUAAGAAGCACUAUAUAGGUAUAUGGAAGCAGUUUUCCUGCAUUAUCUCAGAAGUAAAAUAAAAAAAUAGCACUGCAUAACAAUUUAUGAACUUGUUAGUUCAAUUAUUUAAGGUAUUUACAACAAAACUGUGAGCUGCGUUUUUUUAUCAUAUGAGACUUGCACAUUUAUUUUUACAAUGAGCUAUUUGAAGAACCAUUUUGUCUGCUGGGAGUGAUGUUCAGAGACACUGGCGCUGUUUCCAAAUCUGUCCCUCUCCCCAAAUACUUUAUGUCACCUACUAGAGCAAAUGAGUAUGUAGAUUACUGAAUCUAUGACACUGUCCUAACUCAUAUCU